rnacentral:piRNA from 1 species
UCAUGUGGUCAGAUGUCCUAUGAGAAAAUG